GAUGAACGCUGGCGGCGUGCCUAAUACAUGCAAUUCGAGCGAACGUACGAGAAGCUUGCUUCUCUGAUGUUAGCGUCGGACGGGUGAGUAACACGUUGAUAACCUACCUAUAAGACUGGGAUAACUUCGUGAAACCUGAGCUAAUACCGGAUGAUAUUUUGAACCGCAUGGUUCAAAAGUGAAAGACGUUCUUGCUGUCACUUAUAGAUGGAUCCGCGCUGCAUUAGCUAGUUGGUAAGGUAACGGCUUACCAAGGCAACGAUGCAUAGCCGACCUGAGAGGGUGAUCGGCCACACUGGAACUGAGACACGGUCCAGACUCCUACGGGAGGCAGCAGUAGGGAAUCUUCCGCAAUGGGCGAAAGCCUGACGGAGCAACGCCGCGUGAGUGAUGAAGGUCUUCGGAUCGUAAAACUCUGUUAUUAGGGAAGAACAUAUGUGUAAGUAACUGUGCACAUCUUGACGGUACCUAAUCAGAAAGCCACGGCUAACUACGUG
rnacentral:rRNA from 1 species